UUUAUUUUUUCUGACAGGAAGAAAAAAAAGAAGAGCUUUAUAUGAGAACAGAUUAGGCGUUCCAGAGUGGGGACCGGGAAAUGAAACACUGGAACGACACUGCUUAAAUUGGAGCAUAGUGAGCGAAUGACCUGCUACGCUCGGAACUGUUAUCACCAUUUGGAAUGAAAUCAGGUGCUCGGUCCACUCAUCGCGUGUCUUUUCCUUCCUGGACUGGCGACUACGCCACUGACCGCACCUUCAUGUUUGCCAACCCUUCUCAGCGUGGAGAUGUCAGGCACCCGUCAACGAGCCACUGCCAACGCUUCACCCGUCUUUGAAACAACGACACACUUGUCCUUGGAUUACCCGCCCCUCGCAGCAGAAUGGGAAGCGCCAUCGCAUCCGACAUCACUACUAGGGCCAGCUAUAAAACAGGAGCAGCCACACGUGGCACCAGGCAUAGAGUUUCCUACAAAAGUUUUUGUAGGAAACUCUAUGGCACCAGGCCCCGCACACUCUCAAGUUCUAGCGAUCGCCACAAAGGGCGAAAAAUCAACAGCCGUGCGUUCCAGCAUAAGCGCGUAAGUGGAGCUGCUGUAAAUUGGUCGCAUAAUUUAACUUGUAUUUUUUCUGCUAGGGGCGCUCAACGCGGCUCAAUAUUUGAUCUACAAAUGUACACAUAAUAACCGUCAAACAUGGUUAACGUGUAACUUUCUGCAAAAUAAAGAGACAAUUUUUUUUUAUUAAACUUACUUUAUUAAAUCGUGUGCUUUAUUACUUGAAUAAAGGUUUUGAAACCUCACUGACGUGUGAUAAGCAGCAGCCCACUGGUAUCGAUUGCAGU